rnacentral:rRNA from 1 species
UACGGAGGGUGCAAGCGUUAAUCGGAAUUACUGGGCGUAAAGCGUGCGCAGGCGGUUUGUUAAGUCCGUUGUGAAAGCCCCGAGCUCAACUUGGGAAUUGCAGUGGAUACUGGCAGGCUGGAGUACGGUAGAGGAAGGUGGAAUUCCCGGUGUAGCAGUGAAAUGCGUAGAUAUCGGGAGGAACACCAGUGGCGAAGGCGGGUCUCUGGACAGUUCCUGACGCUGAGGCACGAAGGUCAGGGGAGCAAACGGG